rnacentral:rRNA from 1 species
AACGAACGCUGGCGGCAGGCUUAACACAUGCAAGUCGAGCGAAGACUUCGGUCUUAGCGGCGGACGGGUGAGUAACGCGUGGGAACGUACCCUUCAGUACGGAACAACCAAGGGAAACUUUGGCUAAUACCGUAUACGUCCGUAAGGAGAAAGAUUUAUCGCUGAAGGAUCGGCCCGCGUCUGAUUAGCUAGUUGGUGAGGUAACGGCUCACCAAGGCGACGAUCAGUAGCUGGUCUGAGAGGAUGAUCAGCCUCACUGGGACUGAGACACGGCCCAGACUCCUACGGGAGGCAGCAGUGGGGAAUAUUGGACAAUGGGCGCAAGCCUGAUCCAGCCAUGCCGCGUGGGUGAUGAAGGCCCUAGGGUUGUAAAGCCCUUUCGGCGGGGAAGAUAAUGACGGUACCCGCAGAAGAAGCCCCGGCUAACUUCGUGCCAGCAGCCGCCGUAAAAC